rnacentral:rRNA from 1 species
AUAUCAAUAAGCGGAGGAAAAGAAACCAACAGGGAUUGCCCUAGUAACGGCGAGUGAAGCGGCAACAGCUCAAAUUUGAAAUCUGGCCUCUUUUGGGGUCCGAGUUGUAAUUUGCAGAGGGCGCUUUGGAGUCGGCAGCGGUCCAAGUUCCUUGGAACAGGACGUCACAGAGGGUGAGAAUCCCGUACGUGGUCGCUAGCCUUCGCCGUGUAAAGCCCCUUCGACGAGUCGAGUUGUUUGGGAAUGCAGCUCUAAAUGGGAGGUAAAUUUCUUCUAAAGCUAAAUACUGGCCAGAGACCGAUAGCGCACAAGUAGAGUGAUCGAAAGAUGAAAAGCACUUUGGAAAGAGAGUCAAAAAGCACGUGAAAUUGUUGAAAGGGAAGCGCUUGCAGCCAGACUUGCCUGUAGUUGCUCAUCCGGGCUUUUGCCCGGUGCACUCUUCUAUAGGCAGGCCAGCAUCAGUUUGGGCGGUUGGAUAAAGGUCUCUGUCAUGUACCUCUCUUCGGGGAGGACUUAUAGGGGAGGCGACAUGCAACCAGCUCAGACUGAGGUCCGCGCAUUUGCUAGGAUGCUGGCGUAAUGGCUGUAAGCGGCCCGUCUUGAAACACGGACCAAGGAGUCUAACAUCUAUGCGAGUGUUUGGGUGUCAAGCCCGAGCGCGCAAUGAAAGUGAACGGAGGUGGGAACCCCUCGGGGCGCACCAUCGACCGAUCCUGAUGUCUUCGGAUGGAUUUGAGUAAGAGCAUAGCUGUUGGGACCCGAAAGAUGGUGAACUAUGCUUGAAUAGGGUGAAGCCAGAGGAAACUCUGGUGGAGGCUCGCAGCGGUUCUGACGUGCAAAUCGAUCGUCAAAUUUGGGCAUAGGGCGAAAGACUAAUCG